rnacentral:sRNA from 1 species
AAAAAAAAAGCAAAAAA